GGUUAAGCGACUAAGCGUACACGGUGGAUGCCCUGGCAGUCAGAGGCGAUGAAGGACGUGCUAAUCUGCGAUAAGCGUCGGUAAGGUGAUAUGAACCGUUAUAACCGGCGAUUUCCGAAUGGGGAAACCCAGUGUGAUUCGUCACACUAUCAUUAACUGAAUCCAUAGGUUAAUGAGGCGAACCGGGGGAACUGAAACAUCUAAGUACCCCGAGGAAAAGAAAUCAACCGAGAUUCCCCCAGUAGCGGCGAGCGAACGGGGAGCAGCCCAGAGCCUGAAUCAGUAUGUGUGUUAGUGGAAGCGUCUGGAAAGGCGCGCGAUACAGGGUGACAGCCCCGUACACAAAAAUGCACAUGCUGUGAGCUCGAUGAGUAGGGCGGGACACGUGGUAUCCUGUCUGAAUAUGGGGGGACCAUCCUCCAAGGCUAAAUACUCCUGACUGACCGAUAGUGAACCAGUACCGUGAGGGAAAGGCGAAAAGAACCCCGGCGAGGGGAGUGAAAAAGAACCUGAAACCGUGUACGUACAAGCAGUGGGAGCACGCUUAGGCGUGUGACUGCGUACCUUUUGUAUAAUGGGUCAGCGACUUAUAUUCUGUAGCAAGGUUAACCGAAUAGGGGAGCCGAAGGGAAACCGAGUCUUAACUGGGCGUUAAGUUGCAGGGUAUAGACCCGAAACCCGGUGAUCUAGCCAUGGGCAGGUUGAAGGUUGGGUAACACUAACUGGAGGACCGAACCGACUAAUGUUGAAAAAUUAGCGGAUGACUUGUGGCUGGGGGUGAAAGGCCAAUCAAACCGGGAGAUAGCUGGUUCUCCCCGAAAGCUAUUUAGGUAGCGCCUCGUGAAUUCAUCUCCGGGGGUAGAGCACUGUUUCGGCAAGGGGGUCAUCCCGACUUACCAACCCGAUGCAAACUGCGAAUACCGGAGAAUGUUAUCACGGGAGACACACGGCGGGUGCUAACGUCCGUCGUGAAGAGGGAAACAACCCAGACCGCCAGCUAAGGUCCCAAAGUCAUGGUUAAGUGGGAAACGAUGUGGGAAGGCCCAGACAGCCAGGAUGUUGGCUUAGAAGCAGCCAUCAUUUAAAGAAAGCGUAAUAGCUCACUGGUCGAGUCGGCCUGCGCGGAAGAUGUAACGGGGCUAAACCAUGCACCGAAGCUGCGGCAGCGACGCUGAUGCGUUGUUGGGUAGGGGAGCGUUCUGUAAGCCUGUGAAGGUGUACUGUGAGGUAUGCUGGAGGUAUCAGAAGUGCGAAUGCUGACAUAAGUAACGAUAAAGCGGGUGAAAAGCCCGCUCGCCGGAAGACCAAGGGUUCCUGUCCAACGUUAAUCGGGGCAGGGUGAGUCGACCCCUAAGGCGAGGCCGAAAGGCGUAGUCGAUGGGAAACAGGUUAAUAUUCCUGUACUUGGUGUUACUGCGAAGGGGGGACGGAGAAGGCUAUGUUGGCCGGGCGACGGUUGUCCCGGUUUAAGCGUGUAGGCUGGUUUUCCAGGCAAAUCCGGAAAAUCAAGGCUGAGGCGUGAUGACGAGGCACUACGGUGCUGAAGCAACAAAUGCCCUGCUUCCAGGAAAAGCCUCUAAGCAUCAGGUAACAUCAAAUCGUACCCCAAACCGACACAGGUGGUCAGGUAGAGAAUACCAAGGCGCUUGAGAGAACUCGGGUGAAGGAACUAGGCAAAAUGGUGCCGUAACUUCGGGAGAAGGCACGCUGAUAUGUAGGUGAAGUCCCUCGCGGAUGGAGCUGAAAUCAGUCGAAGAUACCAGCUGGCUGCAACUGUUUAUUAAAAACACAGCACUGUGCAAACACGAAAGUGGACGUAUACGGUGUGACGCCUGCCCGGUGCCGGAAGGUUAAUUGAUGGGGUUAGCGCAAGCGAAGCUCUUGAUCGAAGCCCCGGUAAACGGCGGCCGUAACUAUAACGGUCCUAAGGUAGCGAAAUUCCUUGUCGGGUAAGUUCCGACCUGCACGAAUGGCGUAAUGAUGGCCAGGCUGUCUCCACCCGAGACUCAGUGAAAUUGAACUCGCUGUGAAGAUGCAGUGUACCCGCGGCAAGACGGAAAGACCCCGUGAACCUUUACUAUAGCUUGACACUGAACAUUGAGCCUUGAUGUGUAGGAUAGGUGGGAGGCUUUGAAGUGUGGACGCCAGUCUGCAUGGAGCCGACCUUGAAAUACCACCCUUUAAUGUUUGAUGUUCUAACGUUGACCCGUGAUCCGGGUUGCGGACAGUGUCUGGUGGGUAGUUUGACUGGGGCGGUCUCCUCCUAAAGAGUAACGGAGGAGCACGAAGGUUGGCUAAUCCUGGUCGGACAUCAGGAGGUUAGUGCAAUGGCAUAAGCCAGCUUGACUGCGAGCGUGACGGCGCGAGCAGGUGCGAAAGCAGGUCAUAGUGAUCCGGUGGUUCUGAAUGGAAGGGCCAUCGCUCAACGGAUAAAAGGUACUCCGGGGAUAACAGGCUGAUACCGCCCAAGAGUUCAUAUCGACGGCGGUGUUUGGCACCUCGAUGUCGGCUCAUCACAUCCUGGGGCUGAAGUAGGUCCCAAGGGUAUGGCUGUUCGCCAUUUAAAGUGGUACGCGAGCUGGGUUUAGAACGUCGUGAGACAGUUCGGUCCCUAUCUGCCGUGGGCGCUGGAGAACUGAGGGGGGCUGCUCCUAGUACGAGAGGACCGGAGUGGACGCAUCACUGGUGUUCGGGUUGUCAUGCCAAUGGCACUGCCCGGUAGCUAAAUGCGGAAGAGAUAAGUGCUGAAAGCAUCUAAGCACGAAACUUGCCCCGAGAUGAGUUCUCCCUGACUCCUUGAGAGUCCUGAAGGAACGUUGAAGACGACGACGUUGAUAGGCCGGAUGUGUAAGCGCAGCGAUGCGUUGAGCUAACCGGUACUAAUGAACCGUGAGGCUUAACCUU
rnacentral:rRNA from 1 species